rnacentral:tRNA from 1 species
GGGGUUGUAGCUCAGUGGUAGAGCACUUGCCUAGCAUGUGUGAGGCCCUGGAUUCAAUCCCCAGCACCA